rnacentral:lncRNA from 1 species
GUGUUCUGGAAAGGAUGCUGAUGCUCCGAAUUUAUUACUAUGUCACAGAGCUGGAAGGGGAUGAGAACUAGGAAUGUCAGAAUGCCUUAGAAGAAGGAAGGUCAGAGAUUGGGGACGGGGCUUAUAAUAGGGAAUGUCAGAGCUGGGGACGACCUAGAACAGGGAAUGUCAGAACUGGGAGGAGACUUGGUACAUUGAACACAAAAGGACUCAUCUUCAUAAUCUCACUUGCCAUCGGAGUUGGAGCACUGAAAAGGACCUCAGAAAACAUCUAAAACAACCACCUCAUUUUUCAAAAGAGGAAACUGAGGCAAAGGGCUUUAAGUGAUUUGUCCAGUGCAUCCCAGGCAAUGACCAAGAGGGAUAUUUAUCAAAGGUGCAAAAUUAAAAUAUACCUGGAAGACAUUAAUUCAAAAACAAAUGUGACUUUCCACCAAAAUGCCUGGGGAACUUGCUCUGAACAUAGAGAUGAGUACUGGAGUUGUGAGCUCAUUGCAAUCAAGUCCUUUUACAUACAAUCUUCCUCUACUGAUUCAGAUCAGAAAAAAAGAAACACAACAGGAUGAUUUCCAUCAAGAGCUGCUGCUUUUGAGCAGCUGUCAGCUUCUAAAGCUGUGGCUCUAGUUCUCAAAUUCCAUGCUGGUGAUUUGGACUUCCCAAAGCCCCCUGGUUGCCAUGCAGAUGAUCAGAGGAUCUUUGAUCUGAAACUGGAAAGAACCCUGAAAAUGAAGGUCCGGAGAGUAAGUGGAUUGCCCAGGCAGAAUUUAGCAGAACUGGGCUUUGAACCCAAGUCACAGGACUAAGUCAGGCUCCAAAUGAAAUCAGGACAAGAACAAAUGAGUUCUUCACCUAACAGAAAAUGCCAAGUGAGUCAUUUUGCAGUGCCGGUCUCUAUCUCGCCUUUAGCAGGAACCAGAUUCAGCAACCCCAAUUCAUAACUGUUCAUUUGUCUGUGUCUACCAGGGCCCCAAAUGUAGGCUCUUUAAGUUGAGAAAUAGCUCGUCAUCCAAUUUGGUGUGGAAAAAUGAGGCUAUGAAAAUGACUAAUGCAAAAUGAAGCUCGCAACCACCACAUCGAGCUACACUGGAGCCAGAGAGUUUAAGCAGUGGGUCGUGGAGCCGGCAUGCCAUCCUGGAGACAAUGAGGGGCCACUCUAAGCUCUUGCGUGGCAAGAGUCUGAUGUAUAGAGGAAACAGAUAAUUUUGCAAGCUGCACGUAGGCUGGAUCUGAAGGGAGAGAGUGGCUGGC